UACGGAGGGAGCUAGCGUUGUUCGGAAUUACUGGGCGUAAAGCGCACGUAGGCGGUUAUUCAAGUCAGAGGUGAAAGCCCGGGGCUCAACUCCGGAACUGCCUUUGAAACUAGAUAGCUUGAAUCCAGGAGAGGUGAGUGGAAUUCCGAGUGUAGAGGUGAAAUUCGUAGAUAUUCGGAAGAACACCAGUGGCGAAGGCGGCUCACUGGUCCGGUACUGACGCUGAGGUGCGAAAGCGUGGGGAGCAAACAGG
rnacentral:rRNA from 1 species